ACUCUCGUUGAAGAGGGAUCUGAGCUCCUACGGCAUCUAAGAAGGGUUGGUGAUGGUGUCCACAAGGAUUAAGCAAUCAGAUUCCAGAACCAUUUGAUCCAUUUCUCGCCCUUUCUGUAUCAAGAAGUGGAGUGUGAGAUUAAAACCUUUCACCUCUGCUUGCAGCGCCGAAGAGGCAAGGACGGAACGUGUGAAACCGUCGAUCAAGAUGCCGGAGGAAUCUCUACACACAUAGGCCACGGAAGCAUCGGUACAAGGAGACUGGUUCCAUUAGCGCAUUGGCUAGAUCUGGUGUUUGCUAGGGUUGAUUGCGCCACCUGCUUGGGGUUCGGUUGCUGUUGACGGAAUAUUGUAUUAUUCCGAGCUUUCCAGAUAUGCCAGAGGAUAGACAUUGUUGUCUCCAGAUCUAGUUAGUUAAGACAGCCUUAUCAGAGUGACAUUGAGGCUGAUUUGUCAAAGUUUGAACUUGGUUCUUGAGGGAAUUAAUCUGAAGUUUGGCGUUAGUGAAUUUGGAUCGGCUCCAAUGUGAAAGCGCGAUAGAGACAACGCUUAACUUUUGUGGUAGCGUUACUUGUCCAAGUUGGUUGGAAGCCCAAGAAUUAGCAAUUGUGGAGCGACACUCCAUGUCUUGUAACCAGUAGGCUUCAAAGUAGAAGGAUCUUUGCUUUUUAUAUCAUUGUGUUGCUUCGGAUGACAAAAGGAGUGGGCUAUGAUCAGAUCCGAGGGCCGGUAAAGCGAAGACUUCGACAAGAGGCCUUUGUUACCCAGGUCCAUUAAGUAGCAGUCAUUGAGGAGCUCACAAAAAGAAUACAUACGAUGAGCCUCAGUGGGACGCUUCCCAACUUUCUCCCAAAGGUAUAAAACUUCAUUGAAAUCACCUGCGCACGGCCAAGGUGAGACGUGUUGUGAUGCCUAGAUCCAACUCAGUACAUAUAAAGUCGAGCAUUGUCGAAGAGUGAUGAGAAAUGUUCAAAGACACUCGGUUAUUCCAAAAGAUUGCUAACCCUCCUGCCAAUCCAACUGGAUUUUCUAUAAAACUAGAAGAGAAACUGAAUUUCCUUUGUAAGUAGAGGAGCUUCUUUUCAGGAUUUUUUGUUUCCAUCAAAAACAAAA